AUUGAACGCUGGCGGCAGGCCUAACACAUGCAAGUCGAGCGAGCGGCGGACGGGUGAGUAAUGUAUGGGGACUGCCCGAUAGAGGGGGAUAACCACUGGUUACGGUAGCUAAUACCGCAGCCUAUCGGAUUACCCACAUAGGAUUAGCUAGUAGGUGUGGUAAUGGCUCACCCAGGCGACGAUCCCUCUCUGGUCUGAGAGGAGGAUCAGCCACACUGGGACUGAGACACGGCCCAGACUCCUACGGGGGCAGUAGUGGGGAAUAUUGACCGAUGGGCGAGAGCCUGAUGCAGCACUGCCGCGUGUAUGAAGAAGGCCCUAGGGUUGUAAAGUACUUUCAGUAGGGAGGCGUUACCGAGAGAAGAAGCACCGGCUAACUCCGUGCCAGCAGCCGCGGUAAGUA
rnacentral:rRNA from 1 species